rnacentral:misc_RNA from 1 species
CCAAUAGCGUAUAUUAAAGUUGUUGCAGUUAAAAAGCUCGUAGUUGAAUUUCGGGAUCAAUACGUCGGUCGUGCUUUCGGGUACGUACUGGCGUCAUUGGUUUCUCCUUUCUGACGAACCAUGAUGUCAUUAAUUUGGUGUUAUGGGGAGUUAGGACUGUUACUUUGAAAAAAUUAGAGUGUUUAAAGCAGGCAUUAGCUUGAAUACAUUAGCAUGGAAUAAUGAAAUAGGACGUUCGAUCCUAUUUUGUUGGUUUCUAGGAUCAACGUAAUGAUUAAUAGGGAUAGUUGGGGGCAUUAGUAUUCAAUUGUCAGAGGUGAAAUUCUUGGAUUUAUUGAAGACUAACUACUGCGAAAGCAUUUGCCAAGGAUGUUUUCAUUAAUCAAGAACGAAAGUUAGGGGAUCGAAGACGAUCAGAUACCGUCGUAGUCUUAACCAUAAACUAGGCCGACUAGGGAUCGGAUGAUGUUAAUUUUUUAAUGACUCAUUCGGCGCCUUACG